rnacentral:ncRNA from 21 species
UUAUCUUUGCCACAGAACGGUUCCGGAUGUCUAUUCUGUCAUUCGGAUUAAAAGGGAAUCGGGUGUAAAUCCCGAACAGUCCCGCUGCUGUGAAGCUCCGCUUAAAGUUCCGAUAAUAGCUAUUGCCACUGGGUACCUUGCAUAAAAGACCGGGAAGGCAUCGGAUAAAUAGGAGUCAGUCAGAAGACCUGCCGCUUAUCAAAGGCUGUUU